rnacentral:rRNA from 1 species
UACGUAGGGUGCAAGCGUUGUCCGGAAUUAUUGGGCGUAAAGAGCGUGUAGGCGCCAGACAGGUCCGUUGUGAAAACUGGAGGCUCAACCUUCAGACGUCGACGGAAACCGUCUGGCUAGAGUCCGGAAGAGGAGAGUGGAAUCCUGGUGUAGCGGUGAAAUGCGCAGAUAUCAGGAGGAACACCGGUGGCGAAGGCGGUUCUCUGGGAAUGUACUGACGCUGAGGAGCGAAAGUGUGGGGAGCAAACAGG